UACCGCUCUGAGGAUGAUGGUUCCAGCAAUGGAUGUCCUGACUGUCAAGCUCUCUCUAUGCGUGGCCUCAGUUUUUCUUCUGGACAACCACGUAAGGCAGCCAAUACCAUUUUAUCCCCAAGAAGCAUACCCAGGGAAGAUAGCUGGUUGCUAAACGUUUAUCAGAGCACCACUGAUUAGUCCCUCAAGAGCCAGGAGGUGUGUCUGUCUCACAGAGCCUGGCUUCUAACAGAUUGCUAGAAGUGCUUAUGGAAAUGAAUCAAGCUAAGUGAAAGCUUCCAGUGGGGCCAUAUGGAACCGUGCACCGUGUACACGUGAUCUCUCAUCUGGACAAUGACCUCUGGAGUCUUGGGCACACUGGAAGGGUGGUUUCCCCUACAUGGUCACAAGACUCCGGAGCCCAGCAACCUGAGGCUAUCAGAAGAAAGAAAUCCCGGAAGGACAAGCGAAAUCACUGCAUCAGCCACUCAGUUACUCCUUUGGGUCAGCAGGUGUCCGACUCUUGCCUCACUCUGCCCGCUGACUCUGCGUGGAUCUGUCUGCCUGUCUUGGGCUGUGCAAUCAUCUCCUUCCUAGAAGAAAGUCACGAAAGUCUGGGACUGUAUGACUUUUCAGCUGGUAUCAGGCCAGCCUGAGAGCUGAGACGCUUGGAGUGAAAUGUGGGGGCGUGUGGCCUUACUAAACAAAACCAGAAAGUCUUACACUUGUUUUUUUUUAAUCUCGAUUUGGAAUCUACGUUUGUACCCGUUUCAGAAAUGGAGACUUGCUGCUUCCUGCCCACCCUCCUGGUAGAAGGAAGGCACUCCCUGGCAGAACUUUGGUCCAACCUUGCAAAGGAUGUGCGGGUAGGUUGGCGCAGAUGCCAGGGGACUAAGAAAAGCAGUGGGCACAAUGGGGUGUGUGCCUGGGGGGCAGUGAAGGACUUGGCGUAUCUAGUAGAGUUUGUGUCCUGGGCUCCUUCCACGCUCACAAAAUUCUGAAAACCCCCCAAAAGUACAGGUGCGGAGAAUUUUCAUGGUCAGAAAAUCAGAAGGAAAAUUUAAGUGCUAGAAAAAAUAUUCUGGGCCUCCAAUCCUUCAAAGCUAAGCACGUCCUUGAGUCAGAAUGGAUUGUUUAUCUGGGGGAGGAUGUCGGAUGUCCUCAGGCCUCUCCGUUUAGAGAACAGGAAAUGGGCGCCCCCAAAGGUCAAGUGAGUUGCCCAAGGUUGUCAAAGGGAAGAACUCUGUGUAAACAACUUAAUUUCCAGGGAACCCUUCCCAGCCAGUUCAGCUAAGACCAAAACUGACCUCUCACCCUACACAGUCAGUGGGAGGUGGUGGUCUCUCCUUUAAGAGCAAGUCUGUUGUACACUCAUUGACCCCCGGUCGACUGCCUUGUCUCUAGAGGGAACCCCUCUUACCUGCCCAGCCCCUGUCUCUGAUACAGGAGGGUUAACAGUUUAGCAAUAAAGGGAGCAAUGUCUCAGAAGUAGAAAAGAUGGUGAAAUAGCUCUGAGAGCCAGAAAGUAAAUAUGCCUGAUACUCCACAUUUUGAUCAUUUGGUUCUGUAUAAGGAAAGCAGAGAUCUUACACAGCUGGUGAAGUGACAUGACACAUUACUUGGGUAGGAGAUUGGAAAGAUUCUCCUUUAAUAAAUAAAUGUACCUGCCUUCCCUCUUCUGGUUAGUUGGGAAAUUAAAUGGAAUCAAAACAUUUAAAUGUCACACAAUUAUCUUCAAUUUGAAUGAGUUUAUAGACUCUUCAAUCAUAUCAUCUCUCCCUUUCUGUCUUCUCUCCCUCUCAUAUGUUCUAAGUCUUUAUUGUGAGGCAGGUGUUUCCACCAAUACAAAGAAAUUAAAGCAUGGGAAAACAUGAUUCGCUCAAUUAAGUCAAGCUUAACUGGCAGACAAGAGGCUUAGGUCCUGGACUUCUAUUUCAAUUCAAACUCUCUGUCUGCCACAUGUAACUCGAGUUUUCCAGGUUAGGAAAGAGCCGACUUCUCUCCUGGACAGGUUGGGUGUCUCAGUGAUCAAUAACUAUACCUUUUACCUUGGGGAACAAGACAGCAGGCGUGGGGAAGAUUAGGACCAAGCACAGUUGUGUUAGAAGCAGGUGAUAUGCCACAUCUUGUUAUAGAAAAUAAAAAUGCCAGGAGAAGAAGUUUCCUUAGGAUGUACAUCUGACAGGGCUGACAGCAGUGGGGACAGAAACUACCUUCUGAAUGCUGUCUGGUCUCUGCCCAUUACUCUGGCUGCUUGUGCUCCCAUGAGUACCAAGCACCGAGUCUAAACACUGAGUGAAGGGUGAGCCCUGCCAGUCCGUAGUUGAGUUUCUCUGAGAACUUCCUAAGGUCAGCCUUAGAAAAUAGUCUGAAAAUGCUUGCUUACCUACCCAAUGGGGGAAAAUUUAAAUGAGUGGAUCCUUUUGAGAGACAGAAACAUUCUAUUUGUCUAAGAGAGGAAGACACAGAGCAUGAAACUCCUCUUUUCAAGAAGAACGAGCCAGAAUGCUGACAAUGUUGUCUGUUAUAUCUUUAAGUUACAGGGAAUUGAAACAACCCAGAAAAAUAAUUGCCCUCCCACAAUGUCAGAGGAUAUGGUUUAACCUACUUCUGUCAUUUGCUCAACAAAAACUGCAGUGUGUGUAUAUGCGUUACGUGCUUGAAAAUGCAUUGCCACCAGGUUCAAACCAAGAGCACCUCCAAGGGUCAGGAAUAAACUUUGGAGGGAAAACAGAUGUGUUCCAACAGUUGACCCUGACUGCAAGGUCAUGACAGCACCUCAGCAGAAGGCCUGGGCUCGCUGUUUUCAGAGGCUGAGCGAGGCUAUGGAAGAGCCUCUUUUCAAAUCCAUUCUGGUUUCUCUGAGUCCAUCCCAAAAGAGGGAAGCAGGGGAGCUGCCUGAGGUCACACCAGGUCAGUGGGCAUGGUCUUUCCAAAUGGGACACUGGCUCUUAGGCCGGAGGGGGAGCUAGGACUCAACAGAGUCAUCUGCUGUGUCCCGCCUUUCUUCCUUCAGCCAACUCGUUCACUGGGGUGGCGUUCCCAAUGUAUGGGGAGGUCGUCUCUCAAGGUGGAGUUCAAGGUGGAGUCCUUUGUGUUGCAGUGCUUGGUGACCACGUCAUCUUCCUACAGCACAGCUGGUCACUAUUUCCCAACACUGCCAGUGCCUCACACCUUGCUUGUUCAGACCAAGACGGCAGCCUCCAGGAGGAUCCCCACCUCAUGUCGCAGACUCACAGGGCUUCCCCUGUCACCCUCCCUGCCCCGAGCGCCAGCUCUUCUUCAAACCUACACCUCAUCUCCUUCCAAAUACCCUCCUCUUCAGGCCACUGGGCAAGAGAGCUAACUUACUCCUCUUGGGAGACUUGGAUGACGCUGUAUUACUACGCAAGAUGCAGAAGCCAGGCUGAGACAGUUCAAACUUCAACAACAAAGAAUGGAGUUUGUGGAUUUUCCACUGUGGACCAGGUACCACGCCAAGCACUUUCACAUGGGCCACGCGGUUAACCCCAUGAGCGGCCUUCGAGGUAGCUUUGCCUGUAGCGUUUUUGUGGUGGAGGAAAUGGACUGUGGGUUCUGCUGUCCGUGGGAGAAGUGCAGUUCAGAGUCUUGCUGAUGGCAUAGCUCUAUACCACCUCAUGGCUGCCCACAGGGGAUGGGCUCCUGAGACGGGAAGAGUUCCACCCUACGGUCAAGAGCUCUCAUCCCUGGCUUUCUGUCUUUGCCCCCCUAUAGUCAGAGAAACACAGCUCCACGAAUUCACCAAACACACCCAGCUGAUUUUUUGGUGAUUGGCAAAAGUCAUCUAAGCUCCUUCCUGCAGUCACCAUGGUCAGAAACAAUGUCCUCUCCCUCACUGGAUUUCCAGCACUGCCUUUUUGGUCCUAAAUGUUUUCAUGCUCCACUGCCAGAGCGUCAUUCUCUUUUUUCCUUGACUUCUCCCAAAACGCUCCAAAGUGUUAGCACCAUGUUGCAGAGAUGUAGAGACACCCAGGUCCUGCGAGCAAUGGAGGAGUGGAACUCACUAUCUUUUGAUCUCUUAGCUUUUGGAAAUGCCCGAGUCCUCCCACUUCUACCUUCCAGAGAGAGGCCGGGCGGCUUGUGUCUCUCUCUCCUCCCAUCCCAGGGAAUGGCUCUGUGUGGGAUGCGGGCUUUGGAAGUGGGGCAGCUGUUCAUGGCAACUGUUUGCAGCUCAGAGCAGGGGGCAGUGGGGCACUUUCCACCUUGAUCCCACGCAGGGCAGAACCAGCUUUCAGGGAGCUGGGCCCAGGCCCAGAGCUGACCACACCGCCCACCCACGGCUGCCUCUCCAGGGGACAGCAGGGGAGAGCAGCAGGUGUGGGGUGAAGCGGGAGCUCAGCAACGCCCCCUCUGAGCUCCCAGUGUGCCUGUGCCCACCUGGCACAGCACUUAGCUCUCUGCCUUCCAAUUUCUUAAGCCUCUGUCUCCCCCACUGCAUUGUGAGUGGCUUGAGAGUAGAGUCCGCAUUUUCUUAUCUCCAGCUUGGAGGACAGCACUUUGCCUGCACGUAGUAACUGCACACUACGGCUGGGAUGGACCAAUGGGAGGGGAAACAUUGGUAUUUUAUGUGGAUGUUGUUCUUGGCUGCUGAGGUCACAGACUGCUGUCUCUCAUCAGAGGUCAGGAUCCUGCACUCCUCUCUGCUCAUGAACCUCCCCACACACUGUGCUGACUCCUCUUCCUCUGGCCUGCCCACCCCUGCAGAGGGCAGACCCCAGGGAAGAGCCCUCAGGAACUGGGCUAACAGAGCCAUGCGCUGCGCAUGCUAAGUCGGUUUGGGCCAGGGAGAGGAUGGUUUGAAUGAUACUGUUCUUGGGUUGGAAGGGGGACUGUGGGAGUGACACAGAGCAGCUGUUUCCACUUAAAAUUGAUUAGCAAGUAUCGCUACAAAUGAACUUGGAAUUUAAAACAAAACUCCAUGGAAACCAAUCUUUCUAAAUCAUUCUCAACUGGUGGAGAGAAAGAAGUUUCUCUAGCUGACACCAAAAAAGGUCUCCUUUGGCCCUGUGCUUCCCUGCUGGCCUGCCUGCAUCACCGAGAUGGAACAGAGCCUCAUUCUCCCCGGCUGGCUGCGUGUCGCCCACGGUAACUGGCCCCAUGCUGAUGCCCAGUGCUGUCCACAGAGCUGCGAGUGAAAUUCCACCUGAACAGAGGCAUCCAGGCCAGCUCCACUCCACGUUGGGGCGAGAGCCACACUCUUGGUGAUUGAUCUCGGAGCUGCCCCUGGCACUCUUAGAGCGCGCCUAGCACUGCACUGCACAUCUGUCUCUCCACUGCACCUUGGGCUUCCUGAGGGCAGGCACUUUGUCCAUUCUUAGUCACGAUGGUGCCCUCAGUGCCUUGGAUUGACCCUGUAUAAGGUGGCUGCUCAACAAAUACUGACUGGCAGAAUUACUCUCUGUCUUCUGUACACUACCACUCCAUUGACGACAAAUUCCUGUUCAGAAGAGGAUAUUUCUGAAUCUUCUGCAUUGUGGGCUGAACCACAUUCCCCCAAAAGGUAUUCUGAGAGCCCAGGAGUCGGCUGGAAACGUAUCCCUCCAGAAUGUACAUGGACCUCACAUGUAGAGGCUGUUUCAGACAGGAAAGAAAGAGGAAGGAAGUCAAGACUGUCUGAAAAUGGAAACUGAUAAAUC